rnacentral:rRNA from 1 species
UACCUAGGUUUGACAUGCCGCGAGUAGGGAACCGAAAGGGGACCGACCGGUUCAGUCCGGAAGCGGUACAGGUGCUGCAUGGCUGUCGUCAGCUCGUGCCGUGAGGUGUUGGGUUCAGUCCCGCAACGAGCGCAACCCUCGCCCUUUGUUGCCAUCGGGUCAAGCCGGGCACUCUAAGGGGACUGCCAGCGAUAAGUUGGAGGAAGGAGAGGAUGACGUCAAGUCAUCAUGGCCCUUAUGUCUAGGGCAACACACGUGCAACAAUGGCCGGUACAGACGGAGGCAAAGCCGAGAGGCGGAGCAAACCCGAGAAAGCCGGUCUCAGUUCGGAUUGAGGUCUGCAACUCGACCUCAUGAAGUCGGAAUCGCUAGUAAUCGCGUAUCAGCACGACGCGGUGAAUACGUUCCCGGGCCUUGUACACACCGCCCGUCACACCACGAAAGUCUGUUGUACCUGAAGUCGGUGCCCCAACCGGAAACGGAGGGAGCCGCCCAAGGUAUGGCCGGUGAUUGGGG